UACGUAGGGUGCAAGCGUUAUCCGGAAUUAUUGGGCGUAAAGAGCUCGUAGGCGGUUUGUCGCGUCUGCUGUGAAAACCCGAGGCUCAACCUCGGGCCUGCAGUGGGUACGGGCAGACUAGAGUGCGGUAGGGGAGAUUGGAAUUCCUGGUGUAGCGGUGGGAUGCGCAGAUAUCAGGAGGAACACCGAUGGCGAAGGCAGAUCUCUGGGCCGUAACUGACGCUGAGGAGCGAAAGCAUGGGGAGCGAACAGG
rnacentral:rRNA from 1 species